CAUUUCCUUGAAUGAGCUGCUUUCCAAGUGAAGCUUCAUGCAGGAGGCUUCAUGAUAGCAUCCAGAGUACAUGUCCCAAGUAUGUCCAGCCCCAUCUUCUGAUCCUAGUGCAGAGCAGCUCCCGACAGAUGACAGUAGCUGUCCUCCUUCAAUACUGAGGAAAAGGCCACCUGUGGACCAGGCUGUGGGGGAAAAGCGGAAAGCAGAGAGAAGGGUUCGAUUUCGUGAGCCGGAAGAAGUCAUUGAGCAUGUUAUUUCCUGCUGUGACUACGUAGUGGUACAUGACAGGUCUUCACCUGGAUUGCCUAUGCUCCUGGGGCUAUCAUUUUGUGUGGUACUGAUCCUGGCUGCAAGUCUCUUCUACACCAGCAUGAAGCAAGAUACCAAAGUCCUGGAAGAGUUUCAAUCCCGACUUGUUAUCUUCUUUCUUCAGAUAAGACACAUUGCUCAUAGAUGCUGGACCUGGUUUACAAGGUAGUAGCGAUGUCCUCCAUUUGCAGGAAGGCAGCACUGAUAAUCACCACGUGUCAGAGAGAACCUCCCAGCCCCCUCAGUCCACACGUAAGGAACACAUGAGUAUCCACCUUGAAGAGCAAAAAAAGCCACCCAUUUUGUGCACUUUCUAACAUCUACUUGUUCUCUCUUUUUUAAAAUAUAUAUAUUUUUUAAUAUUUCUGAAUGAUAGUAGUAGCACUAAGAGGUCCCACCAAACUGAUGUUCCAUCACCCUUAGCAGCAAACAAGGGUAUGAGUUUAGUCCCCUGAAGAGACUAUAAACUGUUGCUAUAAGGAGCAGAGGCAGAGAGAGAAAUUCAUUGAUCUGUGCACACAGAAGCACAUUGAAUAGAAGUCUCCUGAGUCUCAGGUCAAAGAAUAAACACCAAACCAUUUUUCUCCUCAAGCCUCUUACGUGCUAUUCUGCAAAGUUUAACAUAAAGCUGAACUAUUGCACAAACACUGCUCUGCUGGCCAAAGGCUUGGCAAGCUGCUAUAUUUAUAUACUUGAAAUGAUUGCUAGUAAAAAUCUCAGCAAAUGGCUUUCUUGUUUCCCUUCAUGCAUUUUUUCCUCUGUGGGCAAAAGCUGUUCCUUAAUGUUUCACUUGACUCCCAGGUGUGAAAAAUAACGUGAGAACUCAUUUAAAUACUAAACAGUGCAUUUGCCUAACACAAUACAGGGCAGCAUUGAAUCCCAGGUUAAUUAUCAAAUCAGAACUUAAUCCUCUUGGUUUGAUUCAGUCCAUAAACCCAAGAUUUAUGGUUGUGUUUGUCUUCAGUCGAAGCUUUCACAUUUAUGCCUGCAUGUUCAAGGGUAUUAUAGACUGUUUACAAAGGUGUUGGGUCAAAGCCCUGUUAUCUCUGUUGUAGCACCAUACAGCGUACCUCUCUGGAGGGAACCAAGCAUAUGCAAUCUUAUGAGCUUCAGCUAUGCUUUGUUCUUAGAAUCACAUAAUUGCUCAGGUUGGAAAAGACCUUCAAGAUCAUCAAGUCAACCACAGACAGAAACAGCAUGAUCCAUUUUCCAGGCCCUACAUUCUUGUCGAGUAAUACUUGAUAUAUGCAUAAGGGUGACAGCAGAGCCCAUAGAAGCUGAAGAAAAGAAAGGAAACAGUGGAGAAGAGGAAAGAGAUGCCUGCAAGACCUUGGCUUUAACUCCUCUGCCACAGUAAUGCACCAGAAGGAAAAAAAAAAAAAGAUUCCUAACCAACUUUCAAAAAAAGCAAGCUUGUCCAGGCUGCCCAAAAAUUUAAACCAGACAGAGGGUAAAAGAAAACCAAUUACAUAGCCUCCACCUAGAGCAGAGUGGGCAGCAAGUUGACCAAUAACGAGUACAAAUAUAUAUAUUUGUAGACAGUAAGAAGUGACUUGAGCAGCUAUUCUCAUGCUCUGAAGGCAACAGCAAUUGCACCUGGGGAGCUGCUGGUCUGGGACACACAGGGCACUGCAGGAGCGUUUGGCUCAGUGGCUCUUUAUGCAAACCACUCAUGCACCCCAGCCCUCAGGGUAAGUCCCCUGAGGCUUCCCUGCUCUCUCUCUCUCUCUCUCUCUCUCCACUCAGCCCACUGUUGAGAUAAUAAAGAAGAGGUUUUAAACUUAUGCUCUGGUGAAUCUAUGGUGGGAAGGUUUUUUUCUGAAGAGUCAGUUCCUGCACUGCAAGUUGUGGUAUACUGCAACAUAGAAAGGCAAGGCCUGACAGGAGCUGGAUCACUUAGCGGGAGAGCAGUACCACAAAUCCUUCCUGCGUGCUUCAAUGCAGUUUCAGUAACUUGAAAAGAAGCCAAGGGGUUAAAAUUAACCAGGAACUCCUUUUAGGACUGUGAGGGAUGAUAUGAAAUCCAUAUGCAUGUUAAUAUGCAUGGGGCCUCCUUCUUCUAGCCCUGGUCAAGGUGGAAAAUAGCCACGCUGACCUUGCUGUGCCCAGGUUUAUCUGUGUGAGAGGCCCACACUGAGAAUGGCUAUCACAUCCAGGUUGUCAAGGGAAAUAAAGCAGAGGAGCAGCUAUUCCUGGCUCCGGCUAGGACAGCUUUGGGCACAGGCAAUAGCAGCACUUGAGUUGUCUGCAGCUUCCCCAUGUUUUUGGGAGGCUUCCUGGGCCGGGAUUCUUUGCUGCAAUCAGUCAGGUAUUUGGCAAAAUGCAGAGAGCCAAAAGAAUGCAUUGUAGAGUACCAGCAGACAGCCUGAAACAAAUAAAAGCUAAAAUCUGUCCCUGGGAGAGCAGUGACCUUUUACAGCUGAAGAAUCUGCAGCUGAGAAAGCCAGUGCCUCUGUGCAAGUGAAUGAAGCAGGUCAAUAGCCAGGGUGGAAAUAGGAGUUAAAGUCCUGACCUCUAGGCCUGCCUUUAGUUACCAAUGCACAGCUCCACUGUAGACUUACCUGUUUUAUUUUCUCCUUGCACUGAAGCACUUGUCCCCUCAAACCAUUCUGCUUACACACAGCACCAUUCUCAUACUCUGUUCUUUAUCCAUCACACAUCUGUGCAUACUGCUGUGAGUCAGAGAGGGUUUCUCCUUGCUCUUGCUCAACACUGCUUUCUUAGGUGUGACACCUUGGUGAGUUUGGAGGAGAUGACCUCUGAAUUUAUACAGAAUGGGUUGUGUUGGUUACUGUUUCCCUUGCAGGCUGUGCUGGGUAAUAUUUUCCUCCAGUAUGACUCCUGAGAAUUGCUUUAUAAGGAGGAAAACAAACGGAGAGGGAUGUAAUAAUGAUAAUGUAAUAAAUGGUCAAACGUUCAC
rnacentral:lncRNA from 7 species